rnacentral:rRNA from 1 species
AACGAACGCUAGCAGCAGGCUUAACACAUGCAAGUCGAGCGCACCGCAAGGGGACGGGCCGACGGGGGAGUAACGCGAGGGGAACUACCCUUCUCUAUGGACUAACGCAUGGAAACGUGUGCUGAAACCGUAUCCGUGAUUGGUGAGCCAGUGUUAGCGUAGAUGGAUGAGCCGGGGAUGGAUUAGCUAGUGGGUGGGGUAAAAGCCUACCAAGGCGACGAUCUAUAGCUGGUCUGAGAGGAUGACCAGCCACACUGGGACUGAGACACGGCCCAGACUCCUACGGGAGGCAGCAGUGGGGAAUAUUGGACAAUGGGCGCAAGCUUGAUCCAGCAAUGCCGCGUGAGUGAUGAAGGCCCUAGGGUUGUAAAGCUCUUUCACCGGUGAAGAUAAUGACGGUACCCGGCGAAGAAGCCCCGGCUAACUUCGUGCCAGCCGCCGCGGUAAGAC